rnacentral:lncRNA from 1 species
AAACUGUCACCUUGGUGUGGUGUUAUAAAGCAAAAUGACCUCAAUUCAAAAAGCUGCCUCAGAUUUUCAAGGAACACUUGAAAAACAUAGGAAAACCCACAGGAAGGCCCAUCAGCCCUGGUUUGUGCAGCACUCUUAAUAUUUCCUGUAUUGAUCACAGCUCAUAAACUCUUAUCAAGGCUGAGCUCUGUGAUUGUUCUAAGUGUACAUCAGAAGGAAAUCAGAACAUAAAACACAGCUAGCAUUACUGUUGCGCCUCAAGAACUUACCUCAGUUAUAUACAGAUUUCCACCAUGCAAAGUAUCAUUCAUUUCCAUUUUUAAUAAAGAGGAAUUCUAUUUUAAAUAUUAUGUAUAUCAGUACAUGUGUCUCGUUACCUGAAGAGGCCAGAAGAAGAUGUUGGAUUCUCCAGAGCUGGAGUGACACAGUUGUGAACAUCUUUUGUGGGUGUUGGGAACUGAGUUUAAGUCCUCUGUAAUGGAAGUAAGUAUGCUUAACUACUAAGCCAUCUCUCUAGAUCCUUUAUUCCAAUUGCAAUCCCCAGUGAGGGUAUCUUCCUUUUACAUGUAGGUAGAGGGUCCUACAGUAGUCGCAAUACUCGUGAUACAUGUAGAAUUGCUAAGGAAAAUUAGGGCCAUCACCAUCACCGUGCUGACGACAUCACAGGAAGUUAGCAUCUCAACUCUAAACCCUUUUCUUGAUGUAGCAUCUCACCCAUCCCAGGCUGGCCUGGAACUUGCUGUGUAGCUCCAGGUGACCUUCAGUUUCUGAUCGUCCCUCUCCCUUGAGUGCUGGAUUGCAGGCAUGUACAGAACCACAUUUGGUGUAUGUGGGACUAAAAGUCAAACCUAGAGCUUCAUGUAUGCUACGCAGGGGCUCUACCAACUGAGCUGCAUACCCAGUCCUUUUUACUUUUAGAGAAAUUUUGAAAUACGUGUUUAAGAACAUUGCAAGACAACUGUAUUGUGUUGGUUUUAUUAUCUCCUGGGGUUGGGGUGUGAGCAUUAACACAAGGAUUUUCUAGAAGUAACUGUUUAUAACAUUAAGUAGGUGUACCUCAUAAACAAAUGGAACCCUGAGUUCCUCGUGUGCAGAGGCAUCAAACAGGCUCUUGGCAUUAGGAUUAGAAUUGCCAGUAUUCCAAUUUCCAUAGUAAAACAUGCCUGUUAUUUGGGUUCCUAUAGCUUGAGAGUUACAGACAUUCUGGCAGUGCAGAUGCUUCCUGGUGAGAUUUUAUUUGUAGAAAACUACUUUUUUUUUUAAUGAAAUAUAUACUUUAAUACCUGGAACUUGUAUGUGUGUAAUUUUUCUUUAAGCAUCAGAGAGCUAUUUUAAAAUUUUUAUUGCCGAUUUUGUUCAUAAGACUGACUUUAUUAAAUUUAAACUCAUUCUUUCAAACAUUCAGAAAUGAUAGUGCAUGUACUCUUUAUAAUUAUCUUAAAGUUUUUUUGGGUAUGUGUUGUAUGUUUUCGAAUGUUUGAGUUAUGGUGUGUGUGGAAAGAUCAGAGAAAAAGUGUGUGCAAUUCAUUGUCUCCUAUCUUUGCAUGGAUUCUGGGAUGGAACCCACAUCAGACUUCUGCAGCAGACAUCUUUAUCUGCUAAUUUCUCACCAGCUUUGCUUUAAAAAAACAAACAAACAAACAAACAAACAAACAAGGAAAACAUAGUGUGUAGGGGUUGGGGGUUCAGCACAUACAUGCUUUCCUCUUUUACUGCUUCUUGCACAUGUGGAACUCAUGAUUCCUCCUCGGUCUGGGAAUUGAACUCAGGCUGUCAGACGUCCUCUGGCUUUGAGCACGUUCUUAGCUGAGCCACUUGACUGGUUCCAUUUUACUUUUCUACAGCAUUAGCAAUGUGAUACUUUUCAUUUGUUUUUAUCUCCUGAUUUCCAACCCCCACCCUGGUCUGGUUCUUCAGCCUAAGUGUGAACACUAAAGGAUGACCUCAUUGAUUGCUGAGCAUGCAGAGAGUGCUUUAAACCUCAUCUAGGGUUGUCGUGCUGAUGAUGAGUCUGAUUAGGAGGGCUUGAGUUGUCACAUGCGUGGCCUUUCUCAUCCUGGAGUUCCAGUUUAAAAUCAUGGAAAUGAGAAGGCUCUACAUGUACCUGUGUUCAGGGAUCACUUUAAAUUGACACAAACCAAAAUAAAACAAAAGGAAAAGGCUUAUGUGUUUCAAAGAUCACUACUAUUCCACACUGUGAGUGAGCGCACUUUUGAAACUUGUACGGUUUUACUGAAGGCUUUUAAAAUGAUCAUGCAUAUAAAUGCUUGGGUUAAGGACUUCAGUUGGUUGAGAACUUGCCUAGCUUGUAUGUUUUAUUGCCAGCAUUUCACAAGUAAACAUUAUGUGCAUACCUUUAACUGCAAUACUCUAGUCAGGGAAGCAGGAUGGUCAUGAGUUAAAGGUCAUCUCUGAGGCAGAGCCGAUUAGAGGCCACUUGGGGAUACAGGAGACCCUGCCUUACAUAGACACGCACAUACAUACAUGUGUUAUUUAAUCAACAUUUAGCAAAUUUUGCCCAUGAGAGCAUUACACUUUCUGAGUUCUGCUCCCAUCCGACAGAUUAUAUAGAGUAUUUAUUUUUCAUAGCAAUUGUGAAAUUCAUAUUUUUCCAUUGAAACACAGAUUUUCACCUGUUGGCAUGAAAGCUUUUCCCAAAGGACAGUAUAGGUCACUUGAUGUAGGGCAUUCAUUUAAAUGUAUGUAAAUCAGAAGGAUUAAUACAGUGUGAAAACCUCUUCAUUUUUUGCUUUGUUGAAGAAUCUUGUGAGAUAUCUUAUAUUAGCUUUUGUUUGCGUGUUUGCUUGUUUGUGUGCUAAAAGCAGGAUCUUCUGUGUAGCCAAGCAGGCCUUGAACUUGCCAUAGGAGAUGACUUUGCCAGUUGCUGUAGGUUGUAGAGGGUAUAGAAGAAUAAGACAAAAGGUGUUCUUUUACACACACAUACACAUACACACACACACACAUACACAGAACACCAAAUGACAUUGGUGAUGCAAACUAUCACCUCGCCCAUUUAUCUAGCCUUGUGUAAUUCUCUGCUCGGUGUCAUUAUGCUGAUAAUUAGUUUUAUUCUGAGGAUAAGAUAUCACAUGCAUGGCCUUUGUCUUGCAAGAGUUCUGGGUUCAAAUCAGGAAAUGUCACUGUUCUAAUAUGUGGCAGUGUUCAUAGUUCACUUUUUAAAUUUGAAAGGAAAUUUUAAAAACUGUUGUGUGGUUCAGAGAUCCCACUCAAUUUUAGAUCCUGGGUGAGACCAGGGUACAGUUUUUAGGCAUUCUUAGUUUACUGAAGGAUGUAUUCAAGAUGGACAUGCAUACAUAUGUAUAGGUCAAGAGCUGCCCAGACUACUUCUUUAUUCUCAUGUUCUUGGACAUGGAACAUGUUUCUAAAUCUUUAAAAGUCACUGGGGAUUAUUCACAUCAAACUUGGCUCAUGAAUUAGUGAGUAGUUAAAGAUCAUUUUGUUCCAAAUUUUAGGGUUGCAAUCUUGAUAAUUUUGACCUAUACACUCUUUCAUACAGAAAAUAAGCUCACUUGAGUACCUGAGUAAAUCUUAAAGUUUGCAGAAACAAGACAAAGACAGAAACACUAUGAAAACAGUGACCUGGGCAAAAGUGUUCCUUUCCUAGAAACUAAAAGCAUUUAUAGUUUCAUUUAUCCAAAAGAAUUAUAUUUGUCCAAGCUAAGUAUUUAUCCAGGAGUGUCAAAUCCUUGUUACAAGUCUUAGAAGUAUAGAGCCUUUUAUUAGGUUUACUUUGUGAAAAUGCCAUCCAUGCGUAAUGCUCAUUCAGAUUUAUUAAAGUCUUGUCCCUUAUCUCCCUGCUAUGUCCAUCAGCUCUCUCCUUUCCACAAGGCUCCUUUCUUCAAUCAGGAGAUUUCGAUUGUUGGUUUUCAUUCCUGUCUAGUUUUGUUUUCUUUUGAGACACACGUAGUUUAGCUUUUCCAUGACCACAUGACAAUUCUUUAGGACCCUGGUCGACUCCUCAUUAAGUGCCUAGCUGAAGAUAGUGAUUGCCCUUCCCUCAGAAUCCAUUGGUAGCCUACAGUUCAGCAGUAGGGAUAGGGCCCUGUAACCUCUGCACACCUAUACAGACUUAAUAAGGAAACUUGUAAAAGGCCACUGGGAUGGGGGAGCCUUCACGCAGGGGCCAUAGCAUAACAGAUAAGAUACGAAAAGAGAAAGAGCAAAUUUGAAGGUGGGAUGCUUUAUAUGAAGGUUGGGGAUGGAAGAUAUAAGGGGAGAAGAGAAUUAACUAGAAGGUAAAUAACUUUGAUUACAUAAGAUAAAUUACAGGGUAAUACUGCUAAUGUAAGCCACCUUUAUUUUUCCCAAACAUCAGUAUUCUGGAGGGAUCAGGUAAAAACAGACCAGUGGUGGUUGUUCAGUGUCUCUAUCUCUGUCUCUCUCUGUCUCUUCUGUAACCUCAAAAAUGUUCCUUAACUUGCCUGAAAGAUAGAGCCUUCUCUAUUGCUUAUAAAAAUAAAUAAAAAAGUAAAAUUUUAAAUGAUGAUGUGCUAUUGGUGCUUCACUAUUUCCAAAUAAAAAUGGGUUCACUAUCAGAUGAAUACCCAUCAAUAUAUUUAAUAUCUCUGUAAUGUUUUGAGUCACUUAAAAAGCAAAGAUGUGAAGUUCAAGUGAGUGCACUACAAAAUUAUGGUAAAAAAUUUUUAUUUCAUUGAAAUAUUAAGUUUGAUCAAAGAAAUAAAAAUAAGAUGUAAUAUGAAGUAGUAAUAAUUCUCAAUUAUGUAUUUGUACCUAUGAGUAUUACAAAAGUAGAUUUAAAAUGACUAGGCAUAUUACACUUACUACAGCAGAUCUGGGAAGAUCCACCAGUUUUUAUUAAAUUAACAUUUUUGCUGUAGUCUUGCUUGCCCAGGUGUACCUACAUAACAUAAAUUUGAGUUUGUAAAAUGCUUCUCAGUUGGCUUUUGUAAGCAGUUAUUUUAAUUAAGUGUAUCAGUGCUCCUUUCUGAGAAUUUGAGGGUUAGUGUGUGUGAGAACUUUCACUUUGUAAGCUUAGCAGAACAACACUCCUUCCAGUUUCAGAGGCUUUCUAAUUCAGUCCUUCAUAUCAUGUAAUGGAUAUUAGAUAGGUGGUUCAGUGGUUAAGAGCACUUGCCAGUCUUGCAGAAGACCUGAGUUCAGUUCCCAGCGUCCACUUCAGCUGUGUCACAACCACCAUUACCUCCAGUUCCAGGGGCAUCUGAUAUCCUCUUCCUGUCUCUGUAGGGACACAUACCCACACACAGACACAUACUCAUUGUUAAAAAUAAUAAAUGUUUUAAAAAUUCAUCAUGUGUAGUUAGCAAAACACUGUAUAAAUGCACUGAGAACGGCUUUCCUGGGUUACCAAGCCUCUGGCGGGCAACUGAAGAAUCACAGUCACGGGUUGGAAAUGGACACCGAAACACAAAAAUCUUUUAUCAGAUCAGGCUGCCAAGAGCCGUUCUCCUUUAUACUGUUCUUGAGUAAUUGUGCUCAAAACAGGCAAUUGGAAUAGCAACAACACAAGGAGUGAAGCCAGGGUUUCUCUUUGUGUUAGGGUUUUAAGUAUCAGAUAUUUAUACUUAACCCAUUUUUUGCUUCUUAUUCGAUAUUUUCUUUAUCUACAUUUCAAAUGUUACGUUCUUAGUGUUUGUCGUUAGCACCAUCAGACUAUGAUGAAGUCAGAUGCCUGCCAGCCCGCCUUUGCUUUAUAUUCUGUGACUGAAUGAAUAUCCAAAGCAUUGUUGGAAGGCAGCAGCUGACUCCUACGUGUUGUCCUCUGACCUCCACACAUGUGCAAAUGCCCUUUUAGCACCUUAGUCCCCCAACAUACGUAUUCCAAACAAAUGAUAUCCUGGGUUCUAUCUCUGUUGGUAGAGUACCUGCCUAGCAUAGGCGAAGGCCUGGGUUCUGUCCCUAGCACUACAUAAAGCUAGCUUGAUGGUUCACACCUGUAGUACCAGCCAUGCAAGUACUAGAAUGCAAAACUACACAUCAUGAUUUAUGAAACUGAAGCCAUCAUAUCAUAAAUGAAGCCAGUCAAGCAGGCUAUACAUCACAAGAUGAAAACUGUAGAAGCAAUACCCCUGGCACAUGCUUUGACCAGGUCACCGUUGACUGUGGUGGUGUACAGCAGUGUAGAGAACAGACUGUGCGAACUGGAAAACAAGUAUGGACUCCAUGAGCAGGUACCUCUCUCCAUAGUAUUCGUACUUUUUUUAAAGCUGACAUCCACAUGGUCUCAAGCGAGAGUCUUCACACGUUCAAGACACUAGAUUCAGGUAGUGAAGGACAGUGUGGCCUGAAAGGAAUUAAACAGGUUUGGUGACGAGCCAUGUUUGUCCUUGUCUGCCUUGAUGGAGUUUUAAGCCCCAGCAAGAUAAGGAGGAGCCCAAUGAUUCCGGUUAUUGCCUGUGUUUGUAGAAGACUGAGAAUCUUUGUUGUGGCUUCAGACUGAAAUGACCCUCAAAGCCUCAUGUAUUUGAGUGUUUGAUUUCCAGUUCAUAGCUCUGUUUGCAGGUUAUGCGACCAUUAGAAGGUGCAGCCUUGCUGAAGGAAAUGUAUUACUAGGGGUUGUGUGGUCUGUGCAAACUAUACAGAGUUCGUAUUUGAGUUUGUAUAGGAUGACAUCACUUCCUGUUCUCUCGCUUUCCUUCCUGAUCUGUGGGUGAAGUCUCAUCGGCCAGUUUCCUGACCACCAUGCUGGCCUCAUGCUCCUCCUACUGUGUCUUCUCCACCCUAAUGAACUAUGCCCCUUUUCCGAUUUUAAACCAAAAUAAUAUUUUUCUUUUCCUACUUGAUUUCUCUUAGAGCGUUUUACCAUAGUGACAGGAAAGUAACUGAUACAAUAUGGUAAUCACGGAGAGAUUCAAAUGGUUGUAGUUACUAGACAGAGCUAAGUAACUGUCUCUUGCAUUUAUGCAGACUCCCCACAGCCCUGAGGAAGAACCAACCAUCUCCAGAUAGCACGAUGCACACACACACACACACACACACACAUGCACUUACUCAUGCAUGCAUGCACAAACACAUUACUACUGAUACAGAUGUCAGUAUUCCCAGAAAGAGAGUUCAAAAGAUAUUAUGACUGUAUUCCACGUAUUCAAAAAUAUCAGUUGAAUAAGACUAAAAUUAAGCUUAUAGCAAAAAACUACACAUAGUGUAACAGGAAGAAUACAAGAAGUUGACAGCAGGCUAUACUAUGUCACAGGUUGGUGACCAUGGAGACAGUGACUGCUCAGCAGUAGGAAGUGUGCUGAGUGAAUCACUGAGACAAACUUCUUUUUAAUGGGCAGAACAUCCGUGAACUUCCUUUAACCAAAUAAUAUAUAGUUGGAAAAGUC